UAACUCAAGUGGCGGACGGGUGAGUAACACGUAAGAAUUUGCCCUUAGGAGGGGGACAACAACUGGAAACGGUUGCUAAUACCCCAUAUGCUUUCGAGUGAAAUGGAUUUCCGCCUAAAGAGAAGCUUGCGGCUGAUUAGCUUGUUGGUGAGGUAAUGGCUCACCAAGGCGACGAUCAGUAUCUGGUUUGAGAGGACGAUCAGACACACUGGAACUGAGACACGGUCCAGACUCCUACGGGAGGCAGCAGUAGGGAAUUUUCCGCAAUGGGCGAAAGCCUGACGGAGCAAUACCGCGUGAGGGAUGACUGCCUAUGGGUUGUAAACCUCUUUUUUCAGGGAGGAAUAAAUGACGUGUACCUGAAGAAUAAGCAUCGGCUAACUCCGUGCCAGCAGCCGCGGUAAGACGGAGGAUGCAAGUGUUAUCCGGAAUCACUGGGCGUAAAGCGUCUGUAGGUGGCUCGAUAAGUCAACUGUUAAAUCUUGAAGCUCAACUUCAAAAUCGCAGUCGAAACUAUCGGACUAGAGUAUAGUAGAGGUAAAGGGAAUUUCCAGUGGAGCGGUGAAAUGCGUAGAUAUUGGAAAGAACACCGAUGGCGAAGGCACUUUACUGGGCUAUUACUGACACUCAGAGACGAAAGCUAGGGUAGCAAAUGGGAUUAGAUACCCCAGUAGUCCUAGCCGUAAACAAUGGAUACUAG
rnacentral:rRNA from 1 species